rnacentral:rRNA from 1 species
AUGCGCUGUAGGAGGUCGCCCGAUCCGCCGCCGCCGAUGCGCUGGGCGGCGACUUUCUCCUCGGCCUUCCUCGACGGCAGGACGGACUGGCGGCCCGGCUCGCUCUUCCUAGAUCGGCCUGCUUUCUGCUUUCUGCGGAAUGGCGACGACAAGAUCGAGGAAGGUCGACAUCUUCGGACAGGGGAGAGGAUUCAGAGCGGGACUGAGAUGGUGUUACUGGAUUGUGUCGUACGCGUCGGUGGUCGUGUCUUCCCAGAGCGACGGCGGCUUACCUUGGCUCCGGGUGAUCUCUCCCGUGCAGUGGGGUCUCCGAGCUCCGGAUCAAGAUUCAGGAUCCUAGCUAACGAGCAAACUGACGAAGACGAAGCAGGUCAGUUUGAGGAGACAUCGGUGCCGGUUCAAUCGGUCAAUGCCGUACUCUCCUGUGAAGAUCACGAUGGGUCAGGGGAUACCUGGUCGACGGUUGCUCGCCGGAAGAAAUCAAAGGCGGAAAUUGUCCAGGAAUUCUGGGAGGACGUGGGAUUUCCCGCCAAGGAAUCACGCGUCUGGGAACGUCGGGAUUCCGAGUCACCAUCAUCGUCUUCAGGUCAGAUUCAUUCUGGUUCGUUUUUGGCUGAUCAGUUCUCGGAUGAUUACAGGUCUCAGCAGCGGGGUGUCGACGCCAAACCUGCGGCGACUGCGAAGUCCGCCCGUCGAGGUGUGCCCAUCCGCCCUUGGAAAGGGCCUCUCCCGCGGCCGAGAUCGCUGCAGCCAGUUGCGCUGGCGGUGUUCUGGCCGGAGCCGCCGGUGGCAACGAACGCGGCGUCAGCAGACAGAACCGCUGCAGCAUCAGUGGACGAAACUGCUGCAGCGGCAUGCUCCAAUCAAGCGCUAAAUAUGGAUCGGCCAAUUGAUCAAGCGAAGUCAGCGGGAUGCAUCAAUCACGUGGACGCUGGAACUGGAUCCAUUGCUCUCGCGGAGGCUGGUGGGCCACAAGUGCGUGCGACUCCACGUUUGGGCCUUACUCUCAGAAGGACCGAUCUGCUUCAAGGCUCACGUCGCCCUAGCACGCGAUCCCCAUCGCUCAGCCGCACCUCCUCCUUGGCCGCACCGCUUCGCUCCUACGCCGCCGUCCUGCGACAACCCUCGCCGGCGAUAAUGGCUAGCUGA